UGGGGAAUAUUGGACAAUGGAGGAAACUCUGAUCCAGCAAUUCUGUGUGUGUGAAGAAGUUUUUAGGACUGUAAAACACUUUUAGUAGGGAAGAAAAAAAUGACGGUACCUACAGAAGACGCAACGGCUAAAUACGUGCCAGCAGCCGCGGUAAUACGUAUGUUGCGAGCGUUAUCCGGAAUUAUUGGGCUUAAAGGGCAUCUAGGCGGUAAGACAAGUUGAAGGUGAAAACCUGUGGCUCAACCAUAGGCUUGCCUACAAAACUGUUGAACUAGAGUACUGGAAAGGUGGGUGGAACUACACGAGUAGAGGUGAAAUUCGUAGAUAUGUGUAGGAAUGCCGAUGAUGAAGAUAACUCACUGGACAGAAACUGACGCUGAAGUGCGAAAGCUAGGGGAGCAAACAGG
rnacentral:rRNA from 1 species